UUGGAGGGCAAGUCUGGUGCCAGCAGCCGCGGUAAUUCCAGCUCCAAUAGCGUAUAUUAAAGUUGUUGCAGUUAAAAAGCUCGUAGUUGAACUUCGGGGUUUGCUCAUUGGUCAGGCUUAAUUGUCUGCACUGGUGGGAUAAAUCUCUACCUUCUGAGGAACUUUAAUGCCAUUAAUUUGAUGUGAUUGGGAAUCAGGACUGUUACUUUGAAAAAAUUAGAGUGUUUAAAGCAGGC
rnacentral:rRNA from 1 species